rnacentral:rRNA from 1 species
UACGAAGGGGGCGAGCGUUGUUCGGAUUUACUGGGCGUAAAGGGCGCGCAGGCGGUUCUGUUUGUCAGGCGUGAAAGCCCCGGGCUCAACCUGGGAAUGGCGCCUGGGACGGCGGGACUAGAGAUCGGGAGAGGAGCGUGGAAUUCCGGGUGUAGUGGUGAAAUGCGUAGAGAUCCGGAGGAACACCAGUGGCGAAGGCGACACGCUGGGCCGUACCUGACACUGAUGCGCGACAGCAUGGGGAGCAAACAGG